rnacentral:rRNA from 1 species
UACGGGGGGGGCAAGCGUUGUUCGGAAUUACUGGGCGUAAAGGGCUCGUAGGCGGCCAACUAAGUCGGACGUGAAAUCCCCAGGCUUAACCUGGGAACUGCGUCUGAUACUGGAUGGCUUGAAUUCGGGAGAGGGAUGCAGAAUUCCAGGUGUAGCGGUGAAAUGCGUAGAUAUCUGGAGGAAUACCGGUGGCGAAGGCGGCAUCCUGGACCGAGAUUGACGCUGAUGAGCGAAAGCUAGGGGAGCAAACGGG